rnacentral:lncRNA from 1 species
CAUUCCAGGAAUGUACUACCAAAGUUCUAUCAAUAUUUGAAUGUCCUGGACAUUUAGGGAACAUUCGGUGAACAUCUGUUUAAAUUAUUCCUGGAAUGUUACCAUAAGACAUUCUGUGAACAUACUACCAAUGUUCCUAUAUUUUAAGUUGCGAAAUAAUACAUACGUGUAAGAGAUACAACAUUACUUAUAACAUACCAGACAAACUAAGUGACAUUUUAGGCCUACAGUGCAAUAAUAUGUCAAAUUUAAAGAGUUUCCCAAGAUUAUAAACAUACAAAUGUAAUAAAAAUUAUUGUUCGCGAAUAUUCAAUUUGGAAUGCGAUUUUGUUAAUAAAAAAAUACUUAUAACUUAUGCAAAACCCAAGAGAGGCAUUUAUAUUUAUUUCUUUUGCGUUCAUUUUCAAAUUCGCCGUGCAUAUAUUUUUGUGCAUGGCGCUUGAGAGGGCAUCACGUGACUAAAAACGACCAACCAACGACCUCGCUUCGGCCAUCUUGGCAUCUUCAUCUUGGCGACCUUGCCUUGCCGUGGAUUGUUUUUAGUUGCUUGUAUUAUUUGUGCUUUUUAAGAAUAUUUUUUUAAUUCGGAUACUUUUAUAAUAGCUUUAAUAGUAUUAUUAACAUAGUGCAUAAAAUGGUGUCCUGUUUUUAACGCAGUUGGAGUAGCAGAAACAAAUGUAGAUAAAAAAAUCUGCAGGAAUAACGUUUCAAUUAUGACAGAAGCUCAAAACAAAUGACUGUGAAUGAAAAGCCCUAUUAAAAGCUUUCCAGAAGAUCCUGCGAAGAAGACAUGAAGUAUAGAUCAGAUUUGUUAAUAGAGGAGUAUGUUCAAAACACUUUUUAGAAAAAGAUAUUGACAGAACUUCACUUUCAUCUGUUCGUUUGAGAGACUGUGCUGUUCCAAUAGCUUAUGUCACACAGAAUCAGCUGAGAGAAGUGGUCUACAAAAAACCAGAAAGGAAACGGAAUAUGUGGCUACGAAAAGCAAAAGAAAGGUUUACAAAGCAAAUGUGACACAUUUUUUAUAAUAUUUAGGAAUGUCAGCAAAUUACAUUAAAAAAUGUAUGUAAAGAUUUUUUGCAAUAAAAAUGUUUAUAUUUA